rnacentral:rRNA from 1 species
UGGGGAAUCUUGGACAAUGGGGGCAACCCUGAUCCAGCCAUGCCGCGUGGGUGAAGAAGGCCUUAGGGUUGUAAAGCCCUUUCAGUCGUGACGAUGAUGACGGUAGCGACAGAAGAAGCCCCGGCUAACUCCGUGCCAGCAGCCGCGGUAAUACGGAGGGGGCAAGCGUUGUUCGGAUUUACUGGGCGUAAAGGGCGCGUAGGCGGACGGUUAAGUCAGAGGUGAAAGGCCCGGGCUCAACCUGGGACGUGCACUUAAUACGGGCGGACUGGAAUCCGGCAGAGGAUGGUGGAAUUCCCAGUGUAGAGGUGAAAGUCGUAGAUAUUGGGAAGAACACCGAUGGCGAAGGCAGCCAUCUGGGCCGGCAUUGACGCUGAGGCGCGAAAGCGUGGGGAGCAAACAGGAUUAGAUACCCCCGUAGUCC